rnacentral:rRNA from 1 species
CGGUCGCCUGUUUAUCAAAAACAUCGCCUCUUGAAUAAUCAUAAGAGGUCCCAGCCUGCCCAGUGACUAAUGUUCAACGGCCGCGGUAUCCUAACCGUGCGAAGGUAGCGUAAUCACUUGUUCUUUAAAUGGGGACUAGUAUGAAUGGCACCACGAGGGUUAUACUGUCUCCUUUUUUCUGAUCAGUGAAACUAAUCUCCCCGUGAAGAAGCAGGGAUAUAGCUAUAAGACGAGAAGACCCUAUGGAGCUUUAAAUUUCUUUUCAAGCGCUAAAACCCUUAUACAAGUUUAAAACUUACCCUCACACCUAUCUAAGCGCCAUGAAAACGAUUUUAGGUUGGGGUGACCGCGGAGUACAAAAAAACCUCCACGCUGAAUUAGGCGUCCAAACCUUGAGCCAAGAGCUACGACCCAACGCACUAAAAAAUUAACACCAAUUGACCCAAUACUCACUUGAUCAACGAACCAAGUUACCCUAGGGAUAACAGCGCAAUCCAUUUCAAGAGUCCGUAUCGACAAAUGGGUUUACGACCUCGAUGUUGGAUCAGGGUCUCCCAGUGGUGCAGCCGCUACUAAUGGUUCGUUUGUUCAACGAUUAAAACCCUACGUGAUCUGAGUUCAGA